UAAUCGAACCCAAAACCGAAUCGAGCUCAAAAAACACUUAUCGCUCAGCACUAGUUCCAUGUAGAACCCUCUGUGGAAAUGGUUCUACAUGGAACCUCAAAGUUUCUAUCAGGAACCAAAAGUGUUCUACUUGGAACCAAAAAAGGUGUACGAAUUCUGUGGAGGCAGCGUGAUACAAGGACUAUACAUUUCCUGUCUCCUAUCAGCCGGAUUUACUCCGAAAAGGGCAUCAAUGACCAUUGGACCAUAUACUUCUCCACAAUAUUGCAGGCACUAAAGGUGGACUUUUAACAAGUGCAGUGACAAUGCAGGAUGACAUCAUCGAUGAUGCGGUGGGUUUCGUGGCGGCAGCGGAGAUGCUGAGGGAGAGGGGGGCGGGGACGAUCAUCGCCGUGGCAACGCACGCCAUCCUGUCCGCGGACGCUCCCAGGAUCCUCCAGGAGUCAGUCAUUAGUCAGAGAGGAGAGGAGGAUGUGAAGUUAAAGAACAUGGGUUCUUGGCCCAGCGUUCUCAGUCCACCCCCGCCUCCGCUGUCCGCUCCUCUAGCGACAGCUUCGAACAGGUCCGUCGCGUCGCCCGAGAGAAGGAGAGAGAGAAACAGCUAAAAGCACAGGCCAGGAGAGAGCAGGAGAAACUACGUAGCCGUGACGACGAGGACCCUGUGGAGCAGCAGGGGAGGGGGCGUGUCCAGGAGGACACUCGCCGUCGCCAGGAGCAACUUUCGCCUCAACCCCUCCCGCCGACUCCCCACAGGCCCCUCCCACUCAACAGGCCACACCCUCGGCCGCAGCAGAACGCCAUGGACCAGCAGAGGGAGCUGGCGAGACGCCGCGAGCAGGAAAGGAGGAGGAGAGAGAUGGCGGACACCAUUGACAUCAACUUCCAGAGCGACUUGAUGGUCAUCUUUGAAGAGAACCUUUUCUGAGAGAGAGAUUGAGAAAGGAGGAGAGGGAGAGAAAGAGAUAUGAACUCUACCUUAUCCCACCAUGGCUGGGAUUUCACACACAACACCCUCCCUCCCUCUGAUUAGAGACCCCAGACCAGGAUGUGAGCUCCAGAGACUUGAAGGAGACUGAGGUGAGGUACAGUAAUAAGGAGUAGCCCUCCCUCCCUCCCUCUGAUUAGAGACCCCAGACCAGG